AGAGAAGGCUGGACGGUCGCCGGUCGCGGCAACGCGGCGGGAGGAAAGUCCGGGCUCCGCAGGGCAGGGUGCUGGAUAACGCCCAGGGGGGGCAACCCCACGGACCAGUGCCACAGAAAGCAGACCGCCGUUCUCUGAACGGUAAGGGUGAAACGGUGAGGUAAGAGCUCACCAGCGGCGCGGGUGACCGCGCCGGCUAGGUAAACCCCACCCGGAGCAAGGCCAAAUAGGGGAGCAAUGGCGUGGCCCGCGCCGCUCCCGGGUUCGGCCGCUGGAGACGCCGGGUAACCGGCGCCCUAGAGAAAUGAUCGUCGCCCCGGCGGAGGAAACCCGCUCGGGGUCACAGAACCCGGCUUACAGGCCUUCUCUGGCG
rnacentral:RNase_P_RNA from 1 species